GAUGAACGCUGGCGGCGUGCCUAAUACAUGCAAGUCGAGCGAACAGACGAGGAGCUUGCUCCUCUGACGUUAUCGGCGGACGGGUGAGUAACACGUGGAUAACCUACCUAUAAGACUGGGAUAACUUCGGGAAACCGGAGCUACUACCGGAUAAUAUAUUGAACCGCAUGGUUCAAUAGUGAAAGACGGUUUUGCUGUCACUUAUAGAUGGAUCCGCGCCGCAUUAGCUAGUUGGUAAGGUAACGGCUUACCAAGGCAACGAUGCGUAGCCGACCUGAGAGGGUGGACGCCCACACUGGAACUGAGACUCGGCCCAGACUCUGGCGGGAAGCAGCAGUAGGGAAUCUUCCGCGAUGGGCGAGAGCCUGACGGAGCACCGCCGCGUGAGGGAUGAAGGUCUUCGGAUCGUAAAACUCUGUUAUUAGGGAAGAUCAAAUGUGUAAGUAACUAUGCACGUCUUGACGGUACCUAAUCAGAAAGCCACGGCUAACUACGUG
rnacentral:rRNA from 1 species